GGGGACGCCCGGAUGUUUUUGAUGUUUUUACCAUCCUUGUGGGAGGCCUCUCUCAUGUCCCCGCAUGGAGCUGGAGCUGAUAGAGGAAGCUCAUCCGCGCUCUCCCCGGGUGGGAUUCGAACCUGGCAGCUUUCAGAUCAUAGAAUUCAGCUAGGUUCCUGCUCAAGAACCCACCUUCCCCAUUUGAGGCUCUCCAACUGAUGUCCUGAACUCCACGUUAUUCUGUGCAUAGCUUCUGAGGUGUGCACAGACAUGAUCAAGUUGCUUUCUCCAAUAACCUGUUAUAAGGAAAUCAAAAUGAGAAGGAAGACAAUUUCAUAGACUAGUUAUUAAAAAUGGUGUGGAACAAUUUUGCUAUAAACUGAGAAACACUGCAAAUUGAUUCAGCUGAAUUGUGAACUCUCAACUGGAAGUCUUUAAGAAACCACUAUAAUUAUAUGAAACCACAGUGGACAAAUUGGUCUGGAGGAUAAAUCCUUUCCAUUGAAUACUACAUUAUCAGCAUAUGGUUCCAUACUGAGGAUGCCUGCCAUAGAUGUGCCAUAGAUGUGGGCGAAACGUCAGGAGAGAAUACUUCUGGAACAUGACCAUACAGCCCGGAAUACAUACAACAACCCUGUGAUCCCGGCUAUGAAAGCCUUCGACAACACAUUUUUGGUAUAGAAAAAUAUUGGAUUCAUGCCUAAAAUGAUGAAUGAAAUUGUUUCAUGUUCGUACUGAAAAUAGUUUUGAAAAUGACAACUGAAUAUGUAAAUUUGGGAUGGCAUUCAACUAAAUUUAUUUUCGGUGUAAGCAUAAGCUAAAACAUCUGAUUCUCAUCGAUACACAGAUACAAAGGGGAGCAUUGGUGGAUAGUCUUUCUGACUACUGACAGCUACAGUAGAGUCUCACUUAUCCAACGUUCUGGAUUAUCCAACACAUUUUUGUAGUCAAUGUUUUCAAUACAUCGUGAUAUUUAGGUGCUAAAUUCGUAAAUACAGUAAUUACUACAUAGCAUUACUGCAUAUUGAACUUCUUUUUCUGUCAAAUUUGUUGUAUAACAUGAUGUUUUGGUGCUUAAUUUGUAAAAUCAUAACCUAUUUUGAUGUUUAAUAGGCUUUUUCUUAAUCUCUCCUUAUUAUCCAACAUAUUUGCUUAUCCAACGUUCUGCCGGCCCAUUUAUGUUGGAUAAGUGAGACUCUACUGUAUUUGUCUAUCAAUCCUAUCUAAACAUAAUUGAGUGGCACAGAUUCAAAUUUCAUUUUUAAAGCAGGGGUAUACUGAAUUUGAAUAAGAUCUGGCAUAGACUUUCUAAAAAAGAAUUUUAAAAAAGUUUUAAAAGAUUUUUCACUGAACCCUUAUGAUGCUUUUGCAGAAUCCGAGAGUUCCAUGGAACAGACUGGAAACUGCUGCUCUAGAGUAACUUUCCAGAAGCAGGAAAAAACUUGUUUCAAAAGACCUUUGGGAACUGACAGUUUAUUCAGAAUUUUGUCUUGUGGCUGGAAAAAAGGCAGAAUACUAAAACUAAAACUAAUAGUAAAAAUUACCCAUAUACUUUUUUUUAUAGCCUCGUGGGUUUGCUCUAAUGACACAGAUUUAAUGUUAGCCACUACAUAUUGUGAUCUACAUAUAUGACUGCUAUUUGUAUGAAAGAGUAUACCUCAGAAAUCCCUCUGUAUUCUCCAGAAGUCAACUGUAGCAUAUCCUCAGAGCCCAGCCUGGAGGAGUGUUCAGCUCUGCAGAUGCUGCAGAAUCUACCAUAUGGAUAUUUGCUUGUGCCACACUUGAAACAAGUGAAAUUGCAUUGAUGUUGCCCAGUCUGAGAUGAGACAAGAAAAAGAAUAAGAAAUUGCUGUAGAACAAUUAUCUAUAAAUGUAUGCUGAGUCCUGGAUCUGAAACGGUUUACAAGAACUGUUCUGGAAAUUAACUGCGGCCAACAAAGCAAGGAGACUUCAUUAUGCAAAACACCAAAUGUCAGACUUACAUGGGAUGCCUGCACCUCAGUUCAGCGAAUGGUAUGGCAAAGAAUAUUGCCUCUAAGUGCUUAAUAGACAUCAUGAAUACUGGCAACUAAUAAGACAUUUCCUGUAUUAAUCCGUAUAAUCCAAUUUUAGGGACAUCUAAACUAGCCAACUGGAACACUAGAAGAUUCUGAACAAUUAUCUACAGGUAGAAAUGGAUAUAGAUGGGAAAGUCUGGAAAACCCCCAGAAAAAUUGAGGGGAAAACCUAAGGUUUUUUUCCCCAUUUUUUCCUAAAAUUCUCAGUUUUUUUCUCCAGACCUUCCCACCUUCCCAUGGAUGACUUAACAAAUUCAUCAAACUGUAGGGUCAUAACAUGUGAAUUGCAAAAGGAAAACAAGCUACAGGUUGAACAUUACUUAUCCGGAAAUCCAAAAUUCAAAAAUCUUCAAAACUUAAUUUUUGGAUACCCACUUUUACUUUCCAGGAGAAGGCAGCAAUGCUUCUAGUCAUUCAUCGUUUGGAUCCUUAACCUCUUUCUGCUGCCAGCUCCCUUAUUCGGAUUACUGAAUGUGGCCACAGCAAAAAGUGCCUCAUACAGAAGCAGCAAUCUGGGUAGGGGAAGUGGUUGGCAAAGAAGGGUGGUGAUUGAACAGAGAAGGGGUCUGGAUUUUUUUUCUUGUGCUAAAGUUGUGUUGCUGUGACCAACCAAAGACAAAGUCCCCCCCCCCCCCCGCAUAUGUAGUGAUCAUUACAACCUAGAGAGAGAGAGACAGAGAGGGAGGGAGGGCUGCCAGGACUGAGGGAAGUUGCCCAGCUACUAGACAGCCCAUAUUUCUCCAAGCUGAGACACUUUUCUGGAAACACAAUGGCACUAGGUGAAGGUGGUAAGGUGUGCUAGUUGUGUGUAAGAGGCUCAAGAAUGGGUGCCAUUCAUGGUUUCCUAAUCCAUCCAUCUCCAUAGGAAAGUUCUAAGUGUAUUUUGUCUAGACCUUCUUAUCUGACCACGCUCAAUACAAACAUUGUUUUCAACUAGCAUUAAAUUUUUAAACGGAAACAUA